rnacentral:rRNA from 1 species
AUUGAACGCUGGCGGCAGGCCUAACACAUGCAAGUCGAGCGGAGAUGAGGUGCUUGCACCUUGGCUCAGCGGCGGACGGGUGAGUAAUGCCUAGGAAUCUGCCUAUUAGUGGGGGACAACAUUCCGAAAGGACUGCUAAUACCGCAUACGUCCUACGGGAGAAAGCAGGGGAUCUUCGGACCUUGCGCUAAUAGAUGAGCCUAAGUCGGAUUAGCUAGUUGGUGGGGUAAAGGCCUACCAAGGCGACGAUCUGUAGCGGGUCUGAGAGGAUGAUCCGCUACGCUGGGACUGAGAGACGGGCCAGAGGACUACGGGAAGCAGCAGGAGGGAAUAUGGGACAAUGGGGGGAACACUGAUCCAGCCAUGCCGCGUGUGUGAAGAAGGCCUUAUGGUUGUAAAGCACUUUAAGCGAGGAGGAGGCUACUGAGACUAAUACUCUUGGAUAGUGGACGUUACUCGCAGAAUAAGCACCGGCUAACUCUGUGCCAGCCGCCGCGGUAACAC